rnacentral:rRNA from 1 species
UACGAAGGGGGCUAGCGUUGUUCGGAUUUACUGGGCGUAAAGCGCACGUAGGCGGAUUGUUAAGUCAGGGGUGAAAUCCUGGAGCUCAACUCCAGAACUGCCUUUGAUACUGGCAAUCUUGAGUCCGGAAGAGGUGAGUGGAACUCCUAGUGUAGAGGUGGAAUUCGUAGAUAUUCGCAAGAACACCAGUGGCGAAGGCGGCUCACUGGCCCGGUACUGACGCUGAGGUGCGAAAGCGUGGGGAGCAAACAGG